rnacentral:lncRNA from 1 species
UGACACAUCUCAUCUACAUUGAAGGAAACAUACAAUGGUUGAGGAAGUAAGGGUGACUGGGACCCUGGGUGGCAGUGACCAUGCUAUCAUUGAGUUUUGGAUAACAAAAGGAGGAAGAUCUGAGAGGACUCGGACUUCAAGGUUAGAUUUCAGAGGAGCAGAUUUUGAUGGACUCAGAAGGAGGGUAGGAAGGAUCCAUUGGCUGGAUGUCUUAAAGGACAGAAAUGUCCAGGAAGGAUGGGAAAUUUUGAGAAAGGAGAUUCUAGAGGCACAAUCUUUAACAAUUCCUAAAAGAAAAAAGAAUGGCAAGCAUCUAAAGAGACCAGGGUGGAUGAACCCUGAACUUAAUCACUUGCUAAAAAGAAAAAAAGAAAUGUUUAAAAAAUGGAAAGAGGGGGACAUAUCAAAAGAAGAAUAUAAUGCAAUCUGCAGGAACUGCAGGAUAAGUGUCAGAAAGGCUAAAGCUAAAAAUGAAUUGAGGAUUGCAAGAGAGGCCAAAAACAAUAAAAAAGGCUUUUGGGGGUAUGUCAGAAGCAAAAGAAAAGUCAAAGAAGCUAUAGGACCUUUACAAAAUGAGAAGGGCGAUUUGGUCAAAAACGAUAUUCAGAAGGCAGAACUUCUGAACUCCUAUUUUGCAUCUGUUUUCUCUCAGAAAGGAAAGGAAACAUCAGUUGGCCUUCACUGUGCUGUUGAGGGAAUAAGAGAAUCAAGGCUCUGUAUGGACAAGGAGAAGGUGAGGGAACACUUAGCAAACUUAAAUGUAUUCAAGUCUCCAGGCCCAGAUGAAUUACAUCCUAGGGUACUGAAGGAAUUAGCUGAUAUAAUUGCUGAACCACUCUCCGUGAUAUUUGAGAACUCAUGGAUAACAGGAGAAGUCCCAGAAGAUUGGAGAAGGGCGAAUGUUGUACCUAUCUUUAAAAAAGGAAAGAAGGCUGACCCAGGCAACUACAGGCCUGUGAGCCUGACUUCAAUACCAGGCAAGAUAUUUGAACAAAUCAUUAAACAGCACAUAUGGGAGCACUUGGAUGGGAAUGCAGUAAUUAACCAAAGCCAACAUGGAUUUG